CUACGGGUUGCUGCAGUGAGGAAUAUUGCACAAUGGGGGAAACCCUGAUGCAGCAACGCCGCGUGGAGGAUGACGCAUUUCGGUGUGUAAACUCCUUUUAUGUGUCAAGAAAAUGACGGUAGCUCAUGAAUAAGCACCGGCUAACUCCGUGCCAGCAGCCGCGGUAAUACGGAGGGUGCAAGCGUUACUCGGAAUCACUGGGCGUAAAGGACGCGUAGGCGGGUUGGAAAGUCAGGUGUGAAAUCCUACAGCUUAACUGUAGAACUGCACUUGAAACUGCGAACCUAGAGUAUGGGAGGGGGAGAUGGAAUUAGUGGUGUAGGGGUAAAAUCCGUAGAUAUCACUAGGAAUACCGAAAGCGAAGGCGAUCUCCUGGAACAUUACUGACGCUAAGGCGUGAAAGCGUGGGGAGCAAACAGGAUUAGAUACCCGCGUAGUC
rnacentral:rRNA from 1 species